rnacentral:lncRNA from 1 species
UGCAAUUUAUCCCCCUUGUAUCCCUUUCUUCACAGGCUCUGUUUCACCUGGYGGGAUUCAGUGUUCAUGGACUAGAAAGCAACAGAUGGGGAAUGCCGAGAACUUCAGCUGCAACAAAGGUUCUAGCUCGCCUGGAGCUGGCGGAAACCAUCCAACGUCUGCAUUUUUCUCACUGGCUCUAAGGUGGUGGAAACGUAACACAGAGCAAGCAGAGGCCAGCUCUGCACCGCAGCCUCCCAGAGCACGCCAGGACGGAGGGCUCAACRCUGGCCACCACUGCCACCACCAUGCAAGAAGCACCAGCAAUCAGCCCAGUCCCUCCACCUGCCACCAAAGGCAGAGCCUUUUCUCUUGCAAUGUUAAUUACUUAAUGUGAGCCAGAUGGUGUUAAACGGCACCAAACCAACCCCCCUGUCAGGUGGAUUUCUCCAGUUGAGCACUGCAAGGACAGAUUUGCAUCGCRAGGAAGGCAGAAGCUCUGUGUAAGCCCAUCUCAACUCAAAGCCUUGAUAUUGCAGGCACUCUCUGGUGUCAGUGGUGCUCUGAAAGAUUUGGGAGCAAAAGCUGAACAGAGACAAGGACGAAGGGGGUUAUCAAAUGCAGGUAACACAGCCCCAAGAUCUCACUUUG